GAUGAAGAACGUAGCGAAAUGCGAUAAGUAAUGUGAAUUGCAGAAUUCAGUGAAUCAUCGAAUCUUUGAACGCACCUUGCGCUCCUUGGCAUUCCGAGGAGCAUGCCUGUUUGAGUGUCAUUAAAUUCUCAAGACCUGUCUGCUUUUUUGAUAGGUAUUGGAUUUUGGGGGUUGCAGGCUGUUUCAAAUAAAUAGCCUUGCUCUCCUUGAAUGUAUUAGUGGAGAAAAGCCAUUGAACUCCAUUGGUGUGAUAAAAACUAUCAAUGCCAGGAGCAAUAUCACUACUUCUCUCUGCUGUCUAACUGUGACUGUCUGUAUUAAUUAGUAUGGAUGGGGACAACUUGACCAACUUGACCUCAAAUCAGGUAGGACUACCCGCUGAACUUAAGCAUAUCAAUAAGCGGAGGA
rnacentral:misc_RNA from 1 species